UCCUAUAUAGUGUAGUGGUUUAGCAUUCCAGAUUUUCAGUCCUGAUUGAAAGCCUUCUGGCGACCCGGGUUCGAACCCCGGUAUGGGAA